rnacentral:rRNA from 1 species
GACGAACGCUGGCGGCGUGCUUAACACAUGCAAGUCGAACGGGCCCGCGCCUUUUUUUGGGGGCGGGUUGAGUGGCGAACGGGUGAGUAUCACGUGAGUAACCUGCCCUCCUCUCCUGGAUAACCGCUUGAGAGGGCGGCUAAUACGGGGUGGUCCGGUUGGUCCGCAUGGGCCGGCUGGGAUAGUUUCAUCUUCGGGUGUUUCGGUGGGGGAUGGGCUCGCGGCCUAUCAGCUUGUUGGUGGGGUGAUGGCCCACCAAGGCGGUGACGGGUAGCCGGCCUGAGAGGGUGGGCGGCCACACUGGGACUGAGACACGGCCCCAGACUCCUGCGGGAGGCAGCAGUGGGGGGUAUUGCACAAUGGGCGGAAGCCUGAUGCAGCGACGUCGCGUGAGGGAUGGAGGCCUUCGGGUUGUGAACCUCUGUUCCCGGUGGUGAAGGCCCCGCCCCUGGUGGUGGGGUUGACGGUAGCCGGGUAUGAAGCGCCGGCUAACUACGUGCCAGCAGCCGCGGUAAUACGUAGGGCCCAAGCGUUGUCCGGAAUUAUUGGGCGUAAAGGGCUUGUAGGCGGCCGGCCGCGUCCGUCGUGAAAUCCUCCGGCUCAACCGGGGGCUUGCGGUGGGUACGGGUCGGCUGGAGUGCGGCAGGGGAGGCUGGAACUCCUGGUGUAGCGGUGGAAUGCGCAGAUAUCAGGAGGAACACCGGUGGCGAAGGCGGGUCUCUGGGCCGUUACUGACGCUGAGGAGCGAAAGCGUGGGGAGCGAACAGGAUUAGAUACCCUGGUAGUCCACGCCGUAAACGUUGGGCACUAGGUGUGGGGCGUUCCCGUUCGAGGGGGCUCCGCGCCGUAGCUAACGCAUUAAGUGCCCCGCCUGGGGAGUACGGCCGCAAGGCUAAAACUCAAAGGAAUUGACGGGGGCCCGCACAAGCGGCGGAGCAUGCGGAUUAAUUCGAUGCACGCGAAGACCUACCAGGCUGACAUGGGGCGUGCUCGAACGCGUUCCUUCGGCCCCCAGUGUCUG